rnacentral:rRNA from 1 species
AAUAGAUACCCGGGUAGUCCUAGCCGUAAACGAUGCAUACUGGAUGUAGGAAGGCUCAACCCUUUCUGUAUCGGAGCUAACGCGUUAAGUAUGCCGCCUGGGGAGUACGCCCGCAAGGGUGAAACCCAAAAGAAUUGACGGGGGCCCGCACAAGCAGUGGAGCAUGUGGUUUAAUUCGAUGCAACGCGAAGAACCUUACCCAGGCUCGAAGUGUAGAGAAAACAGCAGAAAUGUUGCGUCCCGCAAGGGGCUCUAUAUAGGUGCUGCAUGGCUGUCGUCAGCUCGUGCCGUGAGGUGUUGGGUUAAGUCCCGCAACGAGCGCAACCCUUAUUGUCAGUUGCCAACGCGUGAAGGCGGGGACUCUGGCAAGACUGCCCAGGUUAACUGGGAGGAAGGUGAGGAUGACGUCAAGUCCGCAUGGCCUUUAUGUCUGGGGCUACACACGUGCUACAAUGGUCGGUACAGAGGGCAGCGAAGCCGCGAGGCGGAGCAAAUCCAAAAAACCGAUCUCAGUUCAGAUUGC